AUUGAACGCUGGCGGCAUGCCUUACACAUGCAAGUCGAACGGCAGCACGGGUGCUUGCACCUGGUGGCGAGUGGCGAACGGGUGAGUAAUAUAUCGGAACGUACCUUAUUGUGGGGGAUAACGCAGCGAAAGCUGUGCUAAUACCGCAUAAUCCCUAAGGGGGAAAGCGGGGGACCGUAAGGCCUCGCGCAAUUAGAGCGGCCGAUACCUGAUUAGCUAGGUGGUGAGGUAAAGGCUCACCAAGGCAACGAUCAGUAGCUGGUCUGAGAGGACGAUCAGCCACACUGGGACUGAGACACGGCCCAGACUCCUACGGGAGGCAGCAGUGGGGAAUUUUGGGCAAUGGGGGCAACCCUGAUCCAGCAAUGCCGCGUGAGUGAAGAAGACCUUCGGGUUGUAAAGCUCUUUUGUCAGGGAAGAAACAGCAGCUCUAACACAGUUUGCGAAUGACGGUACCUGAAGAAUAAGCACCGGCUAACUACGUGCCAGCCGCCGCCGUAA
rnacentral:rRNA from 1 species